rnacentral:rRNA from 1 species
UCUGAGCAGGGUAAGCCGGCCCCUAAGUCGAGGCAGAAAUGCGUAGACGAUGGGAACUAGGUUAAUAUUCCUAGGCCAGGAGGAUGUGACGGAUCAUGAAGGUUGUUCACCCUUAUUGGAUUGGGUGGGCCGCUAAUUGGUUCCUGGAAAUAGCCCUCCAUCAGACCGUACCCUAAACCGACACAGGUGGACUGGUAGAGAAUACCAAGGCGCUUGAGAGAACUAUGUUGAAGGAACUCGGCAAAAUACCUCCGUAAGUUCGCGAGAAGGAGGCCCGGUUCCUAGGCAACUAGGGGCUGGGGGCACAAACCAGGGGGUGGCGACUGUUUACUAAAAACACAGGGCUCUGCGAAGUCGCAAGACGACGUAUAGGGUCUGACGCCUGCCCGGUGCCUGAAGGUUAAAAGGAGGGGUGAGAGCUCCGAAUUGAAGCCCAGGUAAACGGCGGCCGUAACUAUAACGGUCCUAAGGUAGCGAAAUUCCUUGUCGGGUAAGUUCCGACCUGCACGAAUGGCGUAACGACUUCCCCGCUGUCUCCAACAUAGACUCAGCGAAAUUGAAUUGCCUGUCAAGAUGCAGGCUUCCCGCGGUUAGACGGAAAGACCCCGUGCACCUUCACUACAGCUUCGCACUGGCAUCAGGCACAACAUGUGCAGGAUAGGUGGUGGGCUUUGAAGCAGGAACGCUAGUUUCUGUGGAGCCUCCCUUGAGAUACCACCCUUGUUCUGCUUGAUGUCUAACCGCGGUCCGUUAUCCGGAUCCGGGACCCUGCGUGGCGGGUAGUUUGACUGGGGCGGUCGCCUCCUAAAGAGUAACGGAGGCGCGCGAAGGUUGGCUCAGAGCGGUCGGAAAUCGCUCGUUGAGUGCAAUGGCAGAAGCCAGCCUGACUGCGAGACUGACAAGUCGAGCAGAGACGAAAGUCGGCCAUAGUGAUCCGGUGGUCCCGAGUGGGAGGGCCAUCGCUCAACGGAUAAAAGGUACGCCGGGGAUAACAGGCUGAUACUGCCCAAGAGUCCAUAUCGACGGCAGUGUUUGGCACCUCGAUGUCGGCUCAUCUCAUCCUGGGGCUGGAGCAGGUCCCAAGGGUAUGGCUGUUCGCCAUUUAAAGAGGUACGUGAGCUGGGUUUAGAACGUCGUGAGACAGUUCGGUCCCUAUCUGCCGUGGGUGUAGGA